UACGGAAGGCAGCAGUGGGGAAUAUUGCACAAUGGGCGCAAGCCUGAUGCAGCCAUGCCGCGUGUAUGAAGAAGGCCUUCGGGUUGUAAAGUACUUUCAGUCGUGAGGAAGGUGUUAAGGUUAAUAACCUUAGCAAUUGACGUUAGCGACAGAAGAAGCACCGGCUAACUCCGUGCCAGCAGCCGCGGUAAUACGGAGGGUGCGAGCGUUAAUCGGAAUUACUGGGCGUAAAGGGCACGCAGGCGGUUAAUAAGUUGGAUGUGAAAUCCCCGGGCUUAACCUGGGAAUGGCAUUCAAGACUGGUUAGCUAGAGUCUUGUAGAGGGGGUAGAAUUCCAUGUGUAGCGGUGAAAUGCGUAGAGAUGUGGAGGAAUACCGGUGGCGAAGGCGGCCCCUGGACAAAGACUGACGCUCAUGUGCGAAAGCGUGGGGAGCAAAC
rnacentral:rRNA from 1 species